rnacentral:rRNA from 1 species
ACUCCUACGGGAGGCAGCAGUGGGGAAUAUUGCACAAUGGGCGCAAGCCUGAUGCAGCCAUGCCGCGUGUAUGAAGAAAGGCCUUCGGGUUGUAAAGUACUUUCAGCAGUGAGGAAGGUGGUAGUGUUAAUAGCACUAUCAUUUGACGUUAGCUGCAGAAGAAGCACCGGCUAACUCCGUGCCAGCAGCCGCGGUAAUACGGAGGGUGCGAGCGUUAAUCGGAAUUACUGGGCGUAAAGCGCAUGCAGGUGGUUUGUUAAGUCAGAUGUGAAAGCCCGGGGCUCAACCUCGGAAUUGCAUUUGAAACUGGCAGACUAGAGUACUGUAGAGGGGGGUAGAAUUUCAGGUGUAGCGGUGAAAUGCGUAGAGAUCUGAAGGAAUACCGGUGGCGAAGGCGGCCCCCUGGACAGAUACUGACACUCAGAUGCGAAAGCGUGGGGAGCAAACAGGAUUAGAUACCCUGGUAGGAUAGCG